AAAAACUGAAAUAGUAUUUUCUUGUCAAACAUACUCCAAUAAUUUUUGUUUAAAAUGUACAACUUUGUAAAAAUAAUUUUUAACGGUGUAUGCAUUUACACAUUAGUUUAUCCAUAAUCAGUCACUCACCCUCAUGAUGUUCCAAACCUGUAAGAUUUCUUCUGUGGAAAACAAAAGCUGAUGUUAUGCCAAAUAAACGUUUUAGUCUUUUCUAACUCUUUUUUAGCAUAAGCACUUGGAUUUUCCAGACUGUGCUGUAAUGUGUCUCUCCUGACUGUCUGUCACUCUUUCUCUCACCGUCCCUCUGGUUUAGGUGAAGGUGUGUUUCGAUGACGCUCAGCUGGAGAAAGUUUGUGAGUACCCUUCAGAAGACUGUGCGCUAGCAUCCCUCCCUUACUCUCCUCACCCGGGGCCAGAGGACGGCAGGAGGGAAGGGGGCGAGCAGGAGGCCGAGGGACAGGAGGAAGACGAGGAGGAGGAGAGCGUGCCGUUUGUGUCUCGCAGUGGCAUGAAUGAGAGCGCAGGAAGGGCUCGAUUCCUUAAAGUUGAUGAAUCCUGUAAACGACUUUCCAAAUGACAAACCAUGGCGUCCUUUAAAUUUUCAAUUCUUUACAUUUGCAGGAGGUGUAAGUAAUGAAGUUUUUAAGUGGUUUUAAAAAUUAUUUUAUUUUAUUAAUAAUGAAUUAGUUUUGCUUGUCCGAACAGAGAAUCAAAAAUUCUUUACAAGCGUAACAUUUUUAGAGAUUAUUUUAAUGAAAUUAUUUUAAAAGCAUUUCUGCUUCAUGUUCAGAGAUUUAAUGUCAGGGACAAGUUGUAAGUGCUGCUCUGAUUCACAGAACAAUAUCCUCAGGUCUCAUAAGAUGGUUUGCACAAUUUAACGCGUUUUACGAUUUAAAAUCUUUAUGUUUUGAAUGCUUUGUUCAUUUUAAAAUGCUUAAACUUAAAAUUAAACCCUCUUUAUCUGAGUGUCACAUGUUUAGAGUUCACUCCCUUUUGUGAUGUACGAUUAUGAUUAAUAAAGCUUAGAUUUAAUAUUUUCAUUGGACAGUGACAUGAUAUUUGUAUAGGAAAUGGAUAGGUUUUCAUCAUGUGAUUGUAAAAUAGGAUUCUGACAUUGCAUAUAGAGUAUGAGUAAGCGAGAGAGUUUUGUGUUUUGCAGUGGGACACACGUGGAUUUUUGCAAUGUGAUCAAAUAAAAAUCCAACUUUUGUAUAUUGUUUGUACUUGAAUACCAGUUUGUCUAUUUUAACUUUACAACAAAAUGAAGAAGCACCUUCAAAAUGUUAAUAAACAUUACAGGCAAAUACAGUGUGUGUUUUUGAUGUGUGUGUGUGUGUGUGUGUGUGUUGGGGUGAGUGGUUAUUUUAUCCAUCCUUCUACACACUGGCUGUAUUAAAGCGCCACCUGCUGGAUAUUCAUAGUAACAAUGAGUGUUUCUUCACAUCAAAUCAUUUGAAAUAUUAAUGAGCUGCCCAUCUACACAGUCUCUGUUGACAGUUACACUAAAAAAAUCAAUGUAAUCCAAUUUAAUGCCUUUGCCAAAU
ensembl:lncRNA